UACGAAGGUGGCAAGCGUUACUCGGAAUUACUAGGCGUAAAGGGCAGGUAGGUGGUUCGGUAAGUCUGUUGUGUAAGCUCCCGGCUUAACUGGGAGAGGUCAACAGAAACUACCGGGCUUGAGUAUAGGAGAGGGUACUGGAAUUCCCGGUGUAGCGGUGAAAUGCGCAGAGAUCGGGAGGAACACCAAUGGCGAAAGCAGGUACCUGGACUAUUACUGACACUAAGCUGCGAAAGCUAGGGGAGCAAACAGG
rnacentral:rRNA from 1 species